rnacentral:misc_RNA from 1 species
GGAUCAUUAACGCAUGAUUUCUCAAGCAGCUGCUUGCUGGCUGUUGUGAAACGCACGCACACGUCCUAUCGAAACAGUAACGAUAUACAUUUUUUGCCCGCGUGCGGCGGCGGCAUGAAGCCAACGCCACGCGGGUCCGUCCGCUCCAAUAUUUUCGGGGUACCUAACCAUUUUUAUUGUCCUCGAUGCGACCCACGGUGACGGCUUAGAGCCCGAGUGCUCGCCGGGUCGCUAUGGUUCAAAGAGUGGCCUUGCUCUCUUACGGCCACCGCCCCGACCGACCGACGUCUUGUCCGAUAAGAGAAGCCCGGGGUACCUGUGCCCUUGUUGUUUGCUCGAUCCUGCUCGCUGGGAGGCACGCUCUCGCCAUCCUUGGGUCGGCUCGCUUGGGCGGGAGCUCCAGAUCUUUUUGGCCGCGACGGUUCAAAGAGCCGACCGUGCUCGUGUCGGUCGCCGCCCCGGGUCUCUCUCAUUUUUUUCAAUAUACAAAACAAAAAUUUUUAUGUUGGCCGGAAAAGAGAAAAGCGGUUGCGUGCUCGCACCACUUUUUUUUAUUGUCAUUCGUGACAAAAAAAAUGUACGUAUAACUUUGAGCGGUGGAUCACUCGGCUCGUGCGUCGAUGA